UACGGGGGGGGGCAAGCGUUGUUCGGAAUUACUGGGCGUAAAGGGCUCGUAGGCGGCCAACUAAGUCGGAUGUGAAAUCCCCAGGCUUAACCUGGGAACUGCAUCCGAUACUGGAUGGCUUGAAUUCGGGAGAGGGAUGCAGAAUUCCAGGUGUAGCGGUGAAAUGCGUAGAUAUCUGGAGGAAUACCGGUGGCGAAGGUGGCAUCCUGGACCGACAUUGACGCUGAGGAGCGAAAGCUAGGGGAGCAAACGGG
rnacentral:rRNA from 1 species